GCGCCCGUAGUUCAAUGGAUAGAACACUAGAUUGCGGAUCUAGCGGUUGUGGGUUCGAAUCCCGCCGGGCGCG
rnacentral:tRNA from 1 species